rnacentral:lncRNA from 1 species
UGCUAUCAAGCCCCAUAUACCAUUUCAGAGCGGCACCAGUCAAAAUGUCUUGAAAGUAUUGGAUCAGUAAUUGAUGGUUGUCAGUCUGAGUCGACAUCUUAUGAGCAUACAUCACUAGAUGACUCAAAGGACAAGAGUUGCCUUUAAACUUUUCAAAAUCAGGAACCUUGACCUUGUGUGGAAUCUUCACAUUAGGACCUAAACACAGAUCAUGAGCAUUCUUCCCA